CUACGGGUCGCUCCAGUGGGGAAUAUUGCACAAUGGGCGCAAGCCUGAUGCAGCCAUGCCGCGUGUAUGAAGAAGGCCUUCGGGUUGUAAAGUACUUUCAGCGGGGAGGAAGGGAGUAAAGUUAAUACCUUUGCUCAUUGACGUUACCCGCAGAAGAAGCACCGGCUAACUCCGUGCCAGCAGCCGCGGGAAUACGGAGGGUGCAAGCGUUAAUCGGAAUUACUGGGCGUAAAGCGCACGCAGGCGGUUUGUUAAGUCAGAUGUGAAAUCCCCGGGCUCAACCUGGGAACUGCAUCUGAUACUGGCAAGCUUGAGUAUCGUAGAGGGGGGUAGAAUUCCAGGUGUAGCGGUGAAAUGCGUAGAGAUCUGGAGGAAUACCGGUGGCGAAGGCGGCCCCCUGGACGAAGACUGACGCUCAGGUGCGAAAGCGUGGGGAGCAAACAGGAUUAGAUACCCUAGUAGUC
rnacentral:rRNA from 1 species